UACAGAGGUCUCAAGCGUUGUUCGGAUUCAUUGGGCGUAAAGGGUGCGUAGGCGGCGGGGUAAGUCAGGUGUGAAAUCUCGGGGCUCAACUCCGAAACUGCACUUGAUACUGCCUUGCUAGAGUAUUGGAGAGGAGAUUGGAAUUUACGGUGUAGCAGUGAAAUGCGUAGAUAUCGUAAGGAAGACCAGUGGCGAAGGCGAAUCUCUGGACAAUUACUGACGCUGAGGCACGGAGGCCAGGGGAGCAAACGGG
rnacentral:rRNA from 1 species